UCUCAGUUCGGAUUGUAGUCUGCAACCCGACUACAUGAAGCUGGAAUCGCUAGUAAUCGCGAAUCAGAAUGUCGCGGUGAAUACGUUCCCGGGUCUUGUACACACCGCCCGUCACACCAUGGGAGUCGGAAAUGCCCGAAGCCUGUGACCCAACCGAGAGGAGGGAGCAGUCGAAGGUGGAGCCGGUGACUGGGGUGAAGUCGUAACAAGGUACC
rnacentral:rRNA from 1 species